rnacentral:misc_RNA from 1 species
GCUGGCUCCGUGCCCGUCCCACCGAACGGUCGGCGGGCGAUCCGCGUCGGUCUCGCUGGGUGGUAUGGUUCCCCAGAGGCCGGUUCUUGUGCUGCGUACCCCUUCAGGGGAAGCGGGCCGCUCGAUGCAAGCCUCCAUCCCGCGCCCUCCAACGGGCGCAGGAGGACAACGGAGCACCCCCCGCGUUCCACCGAGCCUCCUCGGUCGCGUGGCGCGCGGGGGCGUGCGAUGCUCUCGGACCCAGCGAACGCCGUGGGCGAGGACUCACGUCCCAGUCCCGAUAGAAGCUCCCACAUAACGCUGACGGCCGCUCCCGUCCCCCGACCGCCCCGGCGGCGCGGGGGCGAGGCGCGGCGUCGCGGAGGAAUGCUACCU